CGAUCGUCGGGUACCAUUGCUAGAUGGUCACUUCGAUUAGUACAGGAAUUAGUUCCUGUGCUACCGGCUUAGGUUCGAACCUGCGGGGUCACACACAUUAGAUGUUCCUUUCUGAUCUGAUGACUGAUUAUGAGUCUUAUGUGUCUGGAACUCUAUGAUUGAGAAUUAGGAUUCUCUAAUCAUGAGUUCCACAUAUUUUGGGUACC
rnacentral:lncRNA from 1 species